UGUGCUCACCUGAAACUUUCAAUUGAGCACAUGAACGUUUCAGGUGAGCACAUGAAACUAAACUUUAGAUUGUUUUUGCUCAUGUCCCCUUAGGGGCUCCGUAUAAAACAGCUAUUUCGGACUGCUGGACAGAAAUCGUGUCAUAUGUAGAGUCAUAUAAGUAGGGUCAUACCGAUAUAUUGCUAGGUCCCCAUUAGCCUAUAUCAUUUUAUUGAAUAGGCAAUUUGCUCAAGUCUUUGUCAGUCACUGGACGACAAGAAGAAAGUUAGGUUGAAAACCGAGGGAGACGAAACUUAAGCUCGUCCACGAACAGCCGUCAUUACUAAGGAUGCCUCAGCUCUACUGUGUACCUGUUCUGACUGUCCAACUAAUUCAAGCUUCUAUUGGUACCAUCGGGAACCCAAUGCUAUGGACCUUACAUGGCGUGAUGAGAAGACAAGCAGACUCAUCUAUGACCAGCCUGGAAAGUAUGCCUGCCUGACGCCUCUCGCCCCAGUAAAUUCCAAAACAUUGAGCUCCUUCCGGGGGGUUCCAGUGGGCGGAAGAUAAUCUAUCUUGUGGUGGUACUCAUCAUAGCUUGUGGCAAUUGCAUUGCUGUGUCUUAAUUAGCAGGGGGAUAUGCCGAUGAGGAGCGUGAGGAGGAAGAAGGGUGCUGAGUAGUGUUGUUUUCAGCGGGGCUGAUUUAAUUUUAGUUUUUUAGUGUAGUAUUUGUGUCAAGCUGUCAUUUUAGUUUUUAUUUGUUUUAGUCACGUUCAUACUCUUUUUAGUUGAGUCAAGUUUCAGUCGACUAAAAGUCUGAGCAUUUUAUUUUAUCUGAGCCUUAUAUAGUCAGAAUUAACCAUGACUACUUCCAGCUGAAGUAGAUCUACUGCAGAGCAGUGGCGUACGUAGCGGUGCUGGG